rnacentral:rRNA from 1 species
UACGUAGGGGGCUAGCGUUGUCCGGAAUCAUUGGGCGUAAAGAGCGCGUAGGCGGCUAGAUAAGUCCGGUGUGAAAGUCAAAGGCUCAACCUUUGAAAGCCGAUGGAUACUGUGUGGCUAGAGUACGGAAGAGGCGAGUGGAAUUCCUGGUGUAGCGGUGGAAUGCGCAGAUAUCAGGAGGAACACCAAUAGCGAAGGCAGCUCGCUGGGACGUUACUGACACUGAGGCGCGAAAGCGUGGGGAGCGAACAGG